GCGCCGCACACUCCGCACGGAUCUCUCACCCCCACCACACCUCUCGAGCGCGUUCCGCCCUCGUACGGUCGAUAAAACGCACGCAGUUUUAUCGUUUCAUCGUUUCAUCGCAGUUCAGGUGCGGGAUUCGCGCGCGCGCGCGAGAAGGACGACAUCGGGCGACACCGCGGGAUUCGCGCGAGGGGUCGGUCGCGUCGCGCGGUGGAUGCGCGACGCGACGCGGCGCGACGCGACGCGAAUCCUCGUCGCGGUCGCGCGCGCGCGGGUUCGGCGAUACGUUUUCGUCGACGUCGAACGCGCGCGCGAGGACGCGCGCGAAACGAUCGACGAGGCGCGCGCGCGUCGAUCGAACGCGACGAGGAUUCGAGGGCGAGAUAAAGAUGGGAGCGAAGGCGGGAGCGAAGGCGGGAGCGAGCGAGCGAACGACUGACGCGAUCGAUCGUCGCGCCUGAUGUAGACUACGAACACACAGAAGAAGAAUGCCCGGCACGCAAUCGGUAUACGUCUCGCUGUCCAUCCUCGCCCUGACGGGACUCGUCGGGACCGGGGUCGCCAUCGGCUCGGGCGUGUCCAUGAUGUCCAUGGCCAUGGUCGAGGAAGAGCAAAAGCAGCAAGCGGUCGUGGCUUCCGUGAAGGAGGCGUCGGCGCGCGUGCCGUCUCGCGGUUUCGCCGCGAGCGGUAACUAGACGGCCCGCCGUCGGUAAACAUGUACCUACCGCCUUCACUUCCGGACGUCUCAAAUCCGCCGUUCGUCGUGUUCGAUACAUUCUUCACCUCCAUCGUGUACCCGUAAAAGUUACUCACUUUCCUGAUCUGUAAUAAAAAGAAGCGGAUGAUGAAAUAUUAAUUACACA
rnacentral:lncRNA from 1 species